rnacentral:rRNA from 1 species
UACGUAAGGGGCUAGCGUUGUCCGGAUUUAUUGGGCGUAAAGAGCGUGUAGGCGGCCAGGUAGGUCUGCUGUGAAAACUCGAGGCUCAACCUCGAGACGUCGGCGGAAACCAUCUGGCUAGAGUCCGGAAGAGGAGAGUGGAAUUCCUGGUGUAGCGGUGAAAUGCGCAGAUAUCAGGAAGAACACCCGUGGCGAAGGCGGCUCUCUGGGACGGUACUGACGCUGAGACGCGAAAGCGUGGGGAGCGAACAGG